rnacentral:rRNA from 1 species
GACUAGCGUCGUUCGGAAUUACUGGGCGUAAAGCGCACGUAGGCGGAUCGAUCAGUCAGGGGUGAAAUCCCAGAGCUCAACUCUGGAACUGCCUUUGAUACUGUCGAUCUAGAGUAUGGAAGAGGUGAGUGGAAUUCCGAGUGUAGAGGUGAAAUUCGUAGAUAUUCGGAGGAACACCAGUGGCGAAGGCGGCUCACUGGUCCAUUACUGACGCUGAGGUGCGAAAGCGUGGGGAGCAAACAGG